rnacentral:rRNA from 1 species
UGCGUAGGUGGUUCUCUAAGUUCGGUGUGAAAUCUCCCGGCUCAACUGGGAGGGUGCGCCGAAAACUGGAGAGCUUGAGUAUGGGAGAGGAGAGCGGAAUUCCUGGUGUAGCGGUGAAAUGCGUAGAUAUCAGGAGGAACACCUGUGGUGCAGACGGCUCUCUGGACCAUUACUGACACUGAGGCACGAAAGCGUGGGAGCAAACAG